AGUGAACGCUGGCGGUAGGCCUAACACAUGCGAGUCGAACGGCAGCACAGUAAGAGCUUGCUCUUACGGGUGGCGAGUGGCGGACGGGUGAGGAGUACAUCGGAAUCUACUUUUUCGUGGGGGAUAACGUAGGGAAACUUACGCUAAUACCGCAUACGACCUACGGGUGAAAGCAGGGGAUCUUCGGACCUUGCGCGAUUGAAUGAGCCGAUGUCGGAUUAGCUAGUUGGCGGGGUAAAGGCCCACCAAGGCGACGAUCCGUAGCUGGUCUGAGAGGAUGAUCAGCCACACUGGAACUGAGACACGGUCCAGACUCCUACGGGAGGCAGCAGUGGGGAAUAUUGGACAAUGGGCGCAAGCCUGAUCCAGCCAUACCGCGUGGGUGAAGAAGGCCUUCGGGUUGUAAAGCCCUUUUGUUGGGGAAGAAAAGCAGCAGGUUAAUACCCCGCUGUUCUGACGGUACCCAAAGAAUAAGCACCGGCUAACUUCGUG
rnacentral:rRNA from 1 species